rnacentral:piRNA from 1 species
AUGGCCAGAGGGAAACACUGUGGGGC